rnacentral:rRNA from 1 species
UACGUAGGCAGCGAGCGUUGUUCGGAGUUACUGGGCGUAAAGGGUGUGUAGGCGGUUGUUUAAGUUUGGUGUGAAAUCUCCCGGCUCAACUGGGAGGGUGCGCCGAAUACUGAAUGACUUGGAGUGUGGGAGAGGUGAGUGGAAUUCCUGGUGUAGCGGUGAAAUGCGCAGAUAUCAGGAGGAACACCGAUGGCGAAGGCAGCUCGCUGGGACGGUACUGACGCUGAGACGCGAAAGCGUGGGGAGCGAACAGG